rnacentral:rRNA from 1 species
AACCAUGGCGAACGGGUGAGUAACACGUANGUAACCUGUCUUUAAGACGAGGAUAACCAUUGGAAACGAUGGAUAAUACUGGAUAGGACAAAUCCCCGCAUGAGGAGAUGUUUAAAGGAGCAAUCCACUUAGAGAGGGGCCUGCGGCGCAUUAGCUAGUUGGUGAGGUAAUGGCCCACCAAGGCGAUGAUGCGUAGCCGGACUGAGAGGUUGAACGGCCACAAUGGAACUGAGAACGGUCCAUACUCCUACGGGAGGCAGCAGUAGGGAAUUUUCGGCAAUGGGCGGAAGCCUGACCGAGCAAUGCCGCGUGAACGAUGAAGUAUUUCGGUAUGUAAAGUUCUUUUAUUUGGGAAGAAAAAACAAAUUGACUGUACCAAAUGAAUAAGCUCCGGCUAACUACGUGCCAGCAGCCGCGGUAAUACGUAGGGAGCGAGCGUUAUCCGGAUUUAUUGGGCGUAAAGGGUGCGUAGACUGCAUAGAAAGUCCUUUGUUAAAAUGCUUGGCUCAACCAAGUAGUGCAAAGGAGACUUCUGAGCUAGAGUGUGAUAGAGGUAAGUGGAACUCCAUGUGUAGCGGUAAAAUGCGUAAAUAUAUGGAAGAACACCAGUGGCGAAAGCGGCUUACUAGAUCAACACUGACGUUGAGGCACGAAAGCGUGGGGAGCAAACAGGAUUAGAUACCCUGGUAGUCCACGCCCUAAACGAUGAGUACUAAGUGUUGGUGUAAAUCAGUGCUGAAGUUAACGCAUUAAGUACUC